rnacentral:lncRNA from 1 species
AUGUUUCUCCCCCAGCUCUCCUUGACUGACUUUUCUGAAUCCCCUGCUGCAUCUACUGAACUCAGUAUCACACUUAACUUAGCUUUGUUUGAUUCAACCUGCCACACAGUUCACCAGCCUGGAUCUUGUUGAUGAAGCUCAUUAUCCAUAAAUCACUACCUGCAUUGUCUAAUUUAAGAUCCAAGACUUAUGGAAAUGGAAGUGAACAGCUGUUCAACUGUCAAGUCACCAGCUAAAUUCAAGUCUGAGAAAAGAAGACAAUCUGUUUAAAUGAAACUGUGUGUGAAUGAAGGCCAGGGUUUUUGGCACUUGUGUUUGGAAAAAAAAAAAAAGAAAAAAUAUAAAACAAUUGUUACUAAAAUAAAUAAUCUUUUUCUAGGAUGACCUUUGUUUGUUUAAACUGUUGGAAAAUCAAUAUUUAAAAUGAAAUCUAGAAACUGAAGUGUGCCCUCUGCAGGGUCACCAGAGUGAUGGGAAAAUUGAACACAAUCAACUCAUGAACUCCCCAAGGUCAGAGGUUUGGUCUAAUUCAAUAACUAAUAUCUAGAAGGUAUUCUAGAAAAAUUCAUGUUGACAGAGUGAGCAAAAGGAACAAAGAAACCCAGGAGUCACAUUUCAUGCCUGUAUUAGUCUGUUCUCACACUGUUAAUAAAGACAUACCUGAGACUAGGUAAUUUAUAAAGGAAAGAGGUG